AGCAGCCGCGGUAAUUCCAGCUCCAAUAGCGUAUAUUAAAGUUGUUGCAGUUAAAAAGCUCGUAGUUGAACUUCGGGGUCUACCCAUUGGUCAGGCUUAAUUGUCUGCACUGGUGAGAUGGAUCUCUACCUUCUGAGGAACUUUCAUGCCAUUUAUUUGGUGUGGUUGGAAAUCAGGACUGUUACUUUGAAAAAAUUAGAGUGUUUAAAGCAGACUAUCGUCUGAAUACAUUAGCAUGGAAUAAUGAAAUAGGACGGACUGAUUCUAUUUCGUUGGUUUCUAGGAUCACCGUAAUGAUUAAUAGGGACAGUUGGGGGCAUUAGUAUUCAAUUGUCAGAGGUGAAAUUCUUGGAUUUAUUGAAGACUAACUACUGCGAAAGCAAUUUGCCAAGGAUGUUUUCAUUAAUCAAGAACGAAAGUUAGGGGAUCGAAGACGAUCAGAUACCGUCGUAGUCUUAACCAUAAACUAUGCCGAC
rnacentral:rRNA from 1 species